GACGAACGCUGGCGGCGUGCUUAACACAUGCAAGUCGAACGGAAAGGCCCUGCUUUUGUGGGGUGCUCGAGUGGCGAACGGGUGAGUAACACGUGAGUAACCUGCCCUUGACUUUGGGAUAACUUCAGGAAACUGGGGCUAAUACCGGAUAGGAGCUCCUGCUGCAUGGUGGGGGUUGGAAAGUUUCGGCGGUUGGGGAUGGACUCGGGGCUUAUCAGCUUGUUGGUGGGGUAGUGGCUUACCAAGGCUUUGACGGGUAGCCGGCCUGGGCGGGUGACCGGCCACAUUGGGACUGAGAUACGGCCCAGACUCCUACGGGAGGCAGCGGUGGGGAAUAUUGCACAAUGGGCGGAAGCCUGAUGCAGCAGCGCCGCGGGCGGGAUGACGGCCUUCGGGUUGUAAACCGCUUUCGCCUGUGACGAAGCGUGAGUGACGGUAAUGGGUAAAGAAGCACCGGCUAACUACGUG
rnacentral:rRNA from 1 species